rnacentral:rRNA from 1 species
UAGGGAAUCUUCCACAAUGGACGCAAGUCUGAUGGAGCAACGCCGCGUGAGUGAAGAAGGUUUUCGGAUCGUAAAGCUCUGUUGUUGGUGAAGAAGGAUAGAGGCAGUAACUGGUCUUUAUUUGACGGUAAUCAACCAGAAAGUCACGGCUAACUACGUGCCAGCAGCCGCGGUAAUACGUAGGUGGCAAGCGUUGUCCGGAUUUAUUGGGCGUAAAGCGAGCGCAGGCGGAAUGAUAAGUCUGAUGUGAAAGCCCACGGCUCAACCGUGAAACUGCAUCGGAAACUGUCAUUCUUGAGUGCAGAAGAGGAGAGUGGAAUUCCAUGUGUAGCGGUGGAAUGCGUAGAUAUAUGGAAGAGCACCAGUGGCGAAGGCGGCGCUCUGGUCUGCAACUGACGCUGAGGCUCGAAAGCAUGGGUAGCGAACAGG